UCUUGGCAGCCAUUUUGAUGGAAGACAUUUGCAAUCUAAAAAUAUUUCAAAUAUUUUGAUAAAACAUCAAAAUAAUAAACGAUGUGACAGGCUUAUAUCAGUCGCUUACUUUUACUCCGCUUAGGAGAUAAUGUAUGAAGGGAAAAAUAUCCAUUAUUCCUCAUUUGACAAGAAACCGCUAUGUUCCUUCAGCACUAAAGUAUGUAAUCAACAUCGCUUGAAUGGCUACGCCUUUUGUGUACGACAUAUCUUAGAGGAUCCGACAGCACCAUUCAGAAGAUGUUCUUAUGUUGCUAAAUCUAGUGGACAAAAAUGUACCCAGGCUAUUCCAAAGCAUGAAGACAGAGAGUACUGCAAUAACCAUAUGCAGGUUCUUGGAAUGAUACCUAGAAAAGAGAAGAAGGUGAAGAAAGAUAGAAUUACAGAAAAUAUGUUGUCUGAUGUAAAGAUACCUUUCCAAGAUAGAGUAAAGUCACGAUUCAAUAUUAACAAGCUUCAGAAUGACAAUGCUUUGCAUUCAAACCCUGCAGAUGACCCAGAUGAUCCGUAUGCAUUUCCAGAUUCAUCAGGAGACUCAAAGAUCAUUACAACUAUUGUACAGCCCACAACACCAUCAUCAGCAGGUGAUUCCCCUUCGUCAGCCAAUCAUCCGUUUGUAAAGUCACCAGGUGACUCCUGUGGCAGUGGGUCAUCUAUUGCAAAAUUUUACCCUGAGUUGGCUGAAAAAUUGGAAAAAAUUAAACCAAAGAAUGAUGCUUUAAAGCUGAAAGACAAAGGGAAAGAUAAAAGUUCAAGAACCAUGAAUAGUUUACAAACAAGAAUAGCUCAGAAUAGAAUAAAGUCAAAGCGAAGGGGAACACAAGAUUCAUCGUCUCAAUCACAGUCUCCCUUGCAUUUAGGGAAAUCCCCAUUACACCCAGGAUCUUUGAAUGACAUAUAUUCAGGUUUUGCUAAUCAUAUUGAUUUGGACAAGCCACAGAAAACUCCUCCUGCUUACAAUCAUUUUGAUGCUUCUCCAACAGAGCCUACAAAAAGUGCUAAUAUUCCUGGAAUAGAAUUGAAAAGGCCUCCACCUUCUUACUUUAGACAACCAUUUGACAGAGCUCCUGUCAUGGCAUCCGUAAAUUCGCCGGUUGUUUCUAUUGAAGAAAAGGUUGUGAAGACACAGCCUACUGUUAGUUCACAAAAGCCAGUUCAGUCAAUCAAUCAUAGUGUUCAGAUGGAAAUACCACAUGGAACCCCUUUACAAUCACUACCUGGCAUGUCAAACAGACUGCCGAUUCCUAACAUGCCAAAUGCAUUUAACCUUGAUCUGGGGACAUCUUUGCCUAAUUUUGCUGCCUACUUGCAUGCAAUGCAAGGUAAGAAUCAAUAUUUGGCAGGACUGCCACCACAAUUGAUCCCUUCAUUGAACCUCCAGCCUGGAUCAGUUCCAUUUAUAAACCUUAAUUCUGCGUCAGCUACAGGUAAUUUAAACCAAAAUGUUGGAGAAAAGUUGGUAACACCUCAAUCCAUUCCACAGCCAGACAUUACUAAAAGGCCAUUACCACCACCACCGCCAUUAUUAUCACCUUCUGGUCUUACCAAUAUUUUUCCAGCAGUGUGUGGAGGCUCUACAACUACAACAUCUGUCACAUUUACAGCCCCAUCACAACCAAUUAGACCACCGCCUCCACCAUACAGCAGUGCUGUGGCUCAGGCACUUAACAAGCCUCCUGUUGCGACAGUAGCCACUAGUAAAACAACAUUUACGAAACCUGUAUUGAAUGUGAUACCUAGUGUUAACACUUCACUGAUGUCUGCCAAGCCGGCAAAGAUGAAGCAUGUUCUCUCGGAUCAGGAAAUCGACAAGAAGAUCAAGACAGAAAUGGCCAAGAAGUACUACAAUGCUUUCCUCAAGAGGAAAAUCUACAAUCAUUCUCUGUUGAAAGCCGGUAUAGACAGUUCAGAUGAUUCCAGUGAUGAUGAGAAAAAUGGUUUGUUACCAUGGCAACCGAAAUGGUUUUGUGCAUCAUCCGAUGAAGAAGGGAUGGAUGAAGAAGAAGAUCAAAAUGAUGUUAUACGAACAACUAAGCUUGCAUUAUUGCGAGCAAGAUUACGGAGACAUUGUUCCCAGUCUCGGAAAGCCUUCAAAGGGAAUGUUAAUGAACAAGUGUCCAGUAAAUCAGCUACAAUGUCACUCAUAAAUUCUGCUAGAGAGAGUGGUAAAGCUACUGUUUGUGUCAUAAAGGAGAAAACAAAUGAACCACAACCAAGAGUGUUCAGGUACAAAAGGCGAGGUUUGGAUAGAAGGCAGUGUCUGUACAAGAAUGACGAGGAAGAACAGUGCCCAAAUUCAGUUGUUCCUUGUGCUAAUCAUUGUCUUAAACAUAUCAUGUACAAUAUUGACCAGCAGUUAUUUGAUUACUGUACAGCCAAGACAGCAGACAAUGUACAGUGUUGUAUACCUGUGAUAGAUAUCAGCCAUGAACUACCUCUCUGUGUCAAACAUGCCAGGGAAGUUGAUGACAGUUACAAAUUAGAAGAAGAAGAAAUCAAACCUAAAAGACCCCGUAAGAAGACAAAACCCUCAGCUCUAACACGACCUCCAAAGAAAGGCAAAAAGAAAAAGAAUCAGAGAAAAUCUGCAGCACUUCAGGCUAACAUUGACAGCAUGGAUACAACAGAAGAUCCACCAACUGCAUCAGAAUCAGCUAUCUCAGGAGAUGUGGAAAUGGAUGCUAAUUCUGGUAGUGGAAGUGACGAGUCAGAUGAAGGGGAGACAACUACACCACAGGUCAAAGAUCCGAGUUCAAAACCUCCAAGUCCUUUACCAGUACCUGCUCCUCCUCCUGUAACGGUUCAGGUGACAAAACCACUCGCACUGCCAACACCACAUUCUCGUCCACUACAUGUUACAAGACCAAAAGUAGAACAACACAAGGAUUUCUUGGGAGAAUUACCUGAUAGUGUGUUGGCAGCAAAUUUGCCAGCAGAUUUGAAUUUGAACAAGGGACUAGAGCUGCCUUUAGAACAGGCUUCCAGGUUGUUAGAAGAACAUGAUUUCCAAGAUGUGCUCAACAAAAUUCCAGAUGAAACAUUUGAUAUGUUUUCAGGAGGAAAGAAUGGUGAACCAACAAAAGAAGAAAUGGAUGAACUUGAAAGGCAUCUAGCUGCGGCAAACAUGGAUCUGAACUCUGCCCAGGAAGCAUUAAGUACUGUAACAGACUAUGACGAUCAGAUCAGAAUUUUAGCCUCCAUUUUAACUAAUCAGCCAACUUCUCAUAUUGGGGGUGAUAAUGUUAAUGGCACAGUAGAUGAACAUGCACAGGAAAACAUCAACAUGAUUGCCAAUAGUUUGGCAUCCUCACAUUCAACAAAUACAACAGUUUCUUCUGGUCAAGUAUUUCAUCAAAAUCAAAUUCCACAGUUUCUUAUUUCUCAUCAGAAUAACCAAGUAAGUCCUUUGCAUCAUUCUACAGUAAUGAACAACAUGGCAGCAGUAAACACUGGAAGGGGUCAGGUCCAUCAACUCUCUCAAGGCCAACAACGUGGAAGUCCUGGACCAAUUCAUUCUCAACAGAUGAGUCCUGUCAACAAUCAGAUGCGGAAUUCACACAGAGGAAGUCCAGUUGGUCAAGUUGUCCACCAAGGAAGUCCUGUUAGCCAGCAAACUGGCCAGGUUCACCGUGUGCAGAGUCCAAAUACACCACAUGCUGGAAGUCCAGUCCAAAAUUUAAAGAUGCCAGUUCAGGUGACCAGUUCUGUUCACCAGUCUAAUGUUCACAGUGUACAGAAUAUUGUACAUCAUAUAAAACCUGGUACUGUCUUACCGUCUGGAAUUGGAAAUGGAAUACAACUUCAAAAUCUUCAAUCAGUUGGGCAUCGUCCAAUGCUUGUUCAAACUGUUCAUUCAAAUAUGGGCCAGACUGUUACACGUGCCUCAGGACAGCAAGCUUAUUCUCAUCCAAAUCUGUCGGAAAGGAUAAAUAGUGUUCAGACCUCAGUUCACAUGUCACCAUUAGUACAGACAGCCGGUCACCAAUCAAACUUGAUUCAUGGUAGUAUCAAUCAACAGUUGAAUCUUGCUCUUCCAGGAAGUGUGCUUCAUCAAAAACUUAUUCAACAAGCAAGUUUAGGAAAUUUAUCAAAUAAAGCCCACAUUCAACAAAACUUGUCAGGAAAUGUGCAGUAUUUGGUAACUACUAUGGGAAAAACUGCUAACCAGUCUGAUGUUGUCUCUUCAAAUGUAAUACAAUCACCCCAUGUUUCAUCACAAGGUCAUGUGACAGGAAAUGUGCAAUCUACAUCCCAUAAUGCUUCAUUGCCAUAUCAUAUUUACCAAAGUAACCAUCUGAUUCAACAGUCCCUGGGACAACAGUCUAAAAUAAUAUCAAGUAUCACAAAUGCUGGGACCAAAACAACUCCUGUUUUACAACAGACUAAAGCAGCCAUUUCGACUUCUGUGCCAACAACAGGUACUUCAAGGAUUGCCUUUCAAAAUGGAUACCCUGCUCAAAGUGCUCAAUUUACAAACAAUGAUGUAAAUAGUGGAAAGUAUGUGAUGUCUGCUGCUCAUGGGGUGCAGAACUGUACUGAUCAACAGUUAUUACAAAAUAUAGCCCAAACCCUGGUCACGGCACCGCAUCAUAUUCCACCGACUUUUGAAAAUCCAAAAAAAACUCAAAUCACUUCACAAAGGAUAGCACAGACUGGAACUGGUUCGUGAUAUCAACUGAGAUAUUAUUUUAUGUAUCUUUUCAAUUUUACUUUCAAGAUAACAGUCUAAAAAGAUGUCAUAUUCUUUCAAAUCAUUUAAACAAUUUCAGUUUAUUUUAUCUACAAAAGGCUGUCUGAUUGGUAUAUCUGUUGAUGUAACUUUGUCUCAUUGUGAUAAUUAUAAAAAAAAAAGAAUUGCAUUUAUAUUUUUAUAUACAUUCAGAUUAUUAAUUUACUAUAGUAAUUGCUAAUUCUUUUUCCAUGUUUUCAUUCAUUCCAUGAAAAGGUCUAUGUAAAGUAUUUAAAUUGAUUUUAACUUCUGAUGAACAUGCAAAGAAAACAUUAUAAGAUAAUCAGAAUUCUUAGAUAAAAUUAUUAAGGUUUUUGUCUAAAUUAUUUUUUUUAUUUUCUACUCAAUGGUCAAAAUUAAAAAAGAAAUGGACUAUUAUAUUUUUACAGAUUUUACAAAAAAUUUAACCCAGUAUCAUUGUGAAGCAACUUACUUUUAAUGGAGAUUCACAUAAGAAUGGUUAAAAUUGUAAGGUAUGUUGUUUAUUACUGCUUUAAAUUAAAAAGCAAAAAAAAAAAUGAACAAAAUAAAAUUUUACAUAGACCUGGUGUGAAAGUGUACUUUUAUAUCAUUCAUCCUGUUGAUGUGUUUUUGGUGCUAUAUUUUAUUGUUUUUAUAUAAUGCUUUCACCAAUAUCAGAAUCUCAUUUUGUUAAAGAUAUCCAUAUAAUCUGUUAAAAAACAAAUCCUGUUUCUUAUGCCACACUUGUAUCAAUUUGAAGACAACCUCUAAAAAGACUUUUUUGCAUUAUUUCUUAUUUUCAAAAGUUGAUUUCAUCUGAAUUGUUGCCACUCUAUAGUUUAUUAUUUAUAACAUCAAUUAUUCUAGUUUAUUAAAAUGAGCAGGAUAUUUAUUGAACAAAUGGCUUAAUUAAAAGAAGAACUAAAAUAUUUUUUGAAUUUAUACAGCUUAUGUAUUUCAGUUUGUGUAAAAUACCGUAGGUAGGAGGACCACAAAGUUUAUCAAGGUAUUGAACUUCAUGAUUGUAGUAAAAUAAAUAUUAAAUAUAAUUGUUAGACAAUCAAAUCAUUGAACAGGUAAUACAAAAAAAUGCCUUAAAUUAGAUAUUUUAUGUGGCUACAUCAAAAUUUUGAUCUUUACCAAAACAAGAGAAACACACUCAUUCAAGUUUAUAACUGUAAAUUCUUAUUGCCAGAUACUGCUUUUAAAGGUCACAUGCAAUAGUUUUGGAGUAUGUAUAUAUAUGGAUACCUUUCCAUAAUGCAAUUUUUUUUUAACAUUUUGUCAGCAGAAAAAGGCACACAGACAGUAUUAUCCAUCUGAAUUGUUAUUGUGAAUGAAUUUUUUUAAUGAAAAAAUUGGUCAACGAAAAAACAAAAAAUAUACGAUUUAUAGCAUUUAAAGUGAAAGAAGUACAGUAUGUAGGAUGACCUAUAAUUGCUUUAAUCUAUGUCAUUUAGACUCUGUUGGAUAGUUGUCACAUUGGCAAUCAUACCACAUCUUCCUUUAUAAUAAAAUAACAUGAAAUAAAAACAAUGGAUGAUUAAACAAAAGAAUUUUGUUUAAUGUUCUUGUUUUAAGUACUGUACUUUUUUCAGAGUUGUGCACAACUUGUUUUUAUACGACUUUUGCGGUCGUAUUUUGGUAUCAUAUCGUCGUCAACGUUGUCCAAAGACAAUGGGUUUCCGGGCAAUAACUUUAGUAAAUGUAUAUAGAAAUCUAUGAAAUUUAAACACAAGGUUUAUAACCACAAAAGGAAGGUUGGGAUUGAUUUUGGGGGUUAUGGUACCAACAGUUAAGGAAUUAGGGGCCAAAAAGGGGCCAAAAAUGAGCAUUUUCUAGUUUCCAGACAAUAACUGUGGAACGGUGUAUGGAUCUCUCUGAAAUUAUACUACAAGUUUCCAUACCACAAAGGGAUGGUUAGGAUUUGCUUUGGGGGGUUAUGGCUCAAACCGUUUAGGAAUUAGGGGCAAAAAAGGGGGAAAAACAAGGUUGUCCUGGUUAAUGGACAAAUACUUUAGUACAAAACAUAAUUUAAAGCAGUGUAAUGGAGAUAAAUCAAAUACAUCAUUGAAAUUAUCUCCCUUACACUGCUUUUAAAUUAUGUAUAAAGUAAUGGUUAAUGAACAAUAAAGAUAAUCUAAAACAGUGUAAGGGAGGUAAUCCAAAUACAACGUUUUGGUUACUUCCCUUACACUGCUUUUAAAUUAUGUUUAAAGAAAUGCAUAUUUAUAAAGGAAGACCAGUAAAAAUAUCUGCAAAUGUUUUCAUCUUUUUUUUUUUACAAAAAAAUCCAUAUGAAAGAUUUGACACUAUAUUUUUAUUAAUUCUAUUAUAAAAUAGAUUAAGUUAGCACGAUGGUAAAUUUAAAUGGGUAAUUAUGGUUGCCAACUCCAUUGGAAAUUUGAAUUGAGAUUAUAAUCAUA